GGUUAAGCGACUAAGCGUACACGGUGGAUGCCCUGGCAGUCAGAGGCGAUGAAGGACGUGCUAAUCUGCGAUAAGCGUCGGUAAGGUGAUAUGAACCGUUAUAACCGGCGAUUUCCGAAUGGGGAAACCCAGUGUGUUUCGACACACUAUCAUUAACUGAAUCCAUAGGUUAAUGAGGCGAACCGGGGGAACUGAAACAUCUAAGUACCCCGAGGAAAAGAAAUCAACCGAGAUUCCCCCAGUAGCGGCGAGCGAACGGGGAGGAGCCCAGAGCCUGAAUCAGUGUGUGUGUUAGUGGAAGCGUCUGGAAAGGCGCGCGAUACAGGGUGACAGCCCCGUACACAAAAAUGCACAUGCUGUGAGCUCGAUGAGUAGGGCGGGACACGUGGUAUCCUGUCUGAAUAUGGGGGGACCAUCCUCCAAGGCUAAAUACUCCUGACUGACCGAUAGUGAACCAGUACCGUGAGGGAAAGGCGAAAAGAACCCCGGCGAGGGGAGUGAAAAAGAACCUGAAACCGUGUACGUACAAGCAGUGGGAGCCUCUUUUAUGGGGUGACUGCGUACCUUUUGUAUAAUGGGUCAGCGACUUAUAUUCUGUAGCAAGGUUAACCGAAUAGGGGAGCCGAAGGGAAACCGAGUCUUAACCGGGCGUUAAGUUGCAGGGUAUAGACCCGAAACCCGGUGAUCUAGCCAUGGGCAGGUUGAAGGUUGGGUAACACUAACUGGAGGACCGAACCGACUAAUGUUGAAAAAUUAGCGGAUGACUUGUGGCUGGGGGUGAAAGGCCAAUCAAACCGGGAGAUAGCUGGUUCUCCCCGAAAGCUAUUUAGGUAGCGCCUCGUGAAUUCAUCUCCGGGGGUAGAGCACUGUUUCGGCAAGGGGGUCAUCCCGACUUACCAACCCGAUGCAAACUGCGAAUACCGGAGAAUGUUAUCACGGGAGACACACGGCGGGUGCUAACGUCCGUCGUGAAGAGGGAAACAACCCAGACCGCCAGCUAAGGUCCCAAAGUCAUGGUUAAGUGGGAAACGAUGUGGGAAGGCCCAGACAGCCAGGAUGUUGGCUUAGAAGCAGCCAUCAUUUAAAGAAAGCGUAAUAGCUCACUGGUCGAGUCGGCCUGCGCGGAAGAUGUAACGGGGCUAAACCAUGCACCGAAGCUGCGGCAGCGACACUGUGUGUUGUUGGGUAGGGGAGCGUUCUGUAAGCCUGUGAAGGUGUACUGUGAGGUAUGCUGGAGGUAUCAGAAGUGCGAAUGCUGACAUAAGUAACGAUAAAGCGGGUGAAAAGCCCGCUCGCCGGAAGACCAAGGGUUCCUGUCCAACGUUAAUCGGGGCAGGGUGAGUCGACCCCUAAGGCGAGGCCGAAAGGCGUAGUCGAUGGGAAACAGGUUAAUAUUCCUGUACUUGGUGUUACUGCGAAGGGGGGGACGGAGAAGGCUAUGUUGGCCGGGCGACGGUUGUCCCGGUUUAAGCGUGUAGGCUGGUUUUCCGAGGCAAAUCCGGAAAAAUCAAGGCUGAGGCGUGAUGACGAGGCACUACGGUGCUGAAGCAACAAAUGCCCUGCUUCCGAGGAAAAGCCUCUAAGCAUCAGGUAACAUCAAAUCGUACCCCAAACCGACACAGGUGGUCAGGUAGAGAAUACCAAGGCGCUUGAGAGAACUCGGGUGAAGGAACUAGGCAAAAUGGUGCCGUAACUUCGGGAGAAGGCACGCUGAUAUGUAGGUGAAGUCCCUCGCGGAUGGAGCUGAAAUCAGUCGAAGAUACCAGCUGGCUGCAACUGUUUAUUAAAAACACAGCACUGUGCAAACACGAAAGUGGACGUAUACGGUGUGACGCCUGCCCGGUGCCGGAAGGUUAAUUGAUGGGGUCAGCGCAAGCGAAGCUCUUGAUCGAAGCCCCGGUAAACGGCGGCCGUAACUAUAACGGUCCUAAGGUAGCGAAAUUCCUUGUCGGGUAAGUUCCGACCUGCACGAAUGGCGUAAUGAUGGCCAGGCUGUCUCCACCCGAGACUCAGUGAAAUUGAACUCGCUGUGAAGAUGCAGUGUACCCGCGGCAAGACGGAAAGACCCCGUGAACCUUUACUAUAGCUUGACACUGAACAUUGAGCCUUGAUGUGUAGGAUAGGUGGGAGGCUUUGAAGUGUGGACGCCAGUCUGCAUGGAGCCGACCUUGAAAUACCACCCUUUAAUGUUUGAUGUUCUAACGUGGACCCGUGAUCCGGGUUGCGGACAGUGUCUGGUGGGUAGUUUGACUGGGGCGGUCUCCUCCUAAAGAGUAACGGAGGAGCACGAAGGUUGGCUAAUCCCCGGUCGGACAUCAGGAGGUUAGUGCAAUGGCAUAAGCCAGCUUGACUGCGAGCGUGACGGCGCGAGCAGGUGCGAAAGCAGGUCAUAGUGAUCCGGUGGUUCUGAAUGGAAGGGCCAUCGCUCAACGGAUAAAAGGUACUCCGGGGAUAACAGGCUGAUACCGCCCAAGAGUUCAUAUCGACGGCGGUGUUUGGCACCUCGAUGUCGGCUCAUCACAUCCUGGGGCUGAAGUAGGUCCCAAGGGUAUGGCUGUUCGCCAUUUAAAGUGGUACGCGAGCUGGGUUUAGAACGUCGUGAGACAGUUCGGUCCCUAUCUGCCGUGGGCGCUGGAGAACUGAGGGGGGCUGCUCCUAGUACGAGAGGACCGGAGUGGACGCAUCACUGGUGUUCGGGUUGUCAUGCCAAUGGCACUGCCCGGUAGCUAAAUGCGGAAGAGAUAAGUGCUGAAAGCAUCUAAGCACGAAACUUGCCCCGAGAUGAGUUCUCCCUGACCCUUUAAGGGUCCUGAAGGAACGUUGAAGACGACGACGUUGAUAGGCCGGGUGUGUAAGCGCAGCGAUGCGUUGAGCUAACCGGUACUAAUGAACCGUGAGGCUUAACCUU
rnacentral:rRNA from 1 species